rnacentral:rRNA from 1 species
UACGUAGGGUGCGAGCGUUAAUCGGAAUUACUGGGCGUAAAGGGUGCGCAGGCGGUUUUAUAAGUCAGAUGUGAAAGUCCCGGGCUUAACCUGGGGAUUGCGUUUGAUACUGUAGGACUAGAGUGUGUCAGAGGAAGGUGGAAUUCCUGGUGUAGCAGUGAAAUGCGUAGAUAUCAGGAGGAACAUCGAUGGCGAAGGCAGCCUUCUGGGAUAACACUGACGCUCAUGCACGAAAGCGUGGGGAGCAAACAGG